UACGAAGGGGGCUAGCGUUGUUCGGAAUUACUGGGCGUAAAGCGCGUGUAGGCGGGCCGUUAAGUCGGGGGUGAAAGCCCAGAGCUCAACUCUGGAAUUGCCUUCGAUACUGGCGGCCUGGAGCAUGAUAGAGGCGAGUGGAAUUGCGAGUGUAGAGGUGAAAUUCGUAGAUAUUUGCAGGAACACCAGUGGCGAAGGCGGCUCGCUGGAUCAUUGCUGACGCUGAGACGCGAAAGCGUGGGGAGCACACAGG
rnacentral:rRNA from 1 species